GGGGAUGCGUGGUCUCGACAGGGUCCAGUUGUCAGGGAACGCGAGCCGAGGUGCCGUCAGGCCUCGUAAAACAGGCGGCAAAACGAAGUAACUGGCAACCGCCAGACUGCUCUCGCCCUCGCGGCUUAGGCCGUAAGGUGAGCGUGGAAGCGACCUCAUCCCCGCGGGUCGUGGAAGCGUCAUUCAGCGGGGAUGCGCUCAGGAUCAGCGUCGCGUAGUCCGGAGCAAAGCCCGAUCUAGGGGCACGUGACUGGACCGGAUGGCAGGCUGCCGAUGGCCGACCAGCCGGUCGACGACAAAUCAUCGGACACGCUCGUAGUGGUCCCUGGUGAAGGGCUCUGGACGGGGAGUUCGACUCUCCCCCAUCUCCACCA
rnacentral:tmRNA from 1 species